UCGGGAAUUUUGGGCAAUGGGGGAAACCCUGACCCAGCAACGCCGCGUGAAGGAUGAAGUAUUUCGGUAUGUAAACUUCGAAAGAAUAGGAAGAAUAAAUGACGGUACUAUUUAUAAGGUCCGGCUAACUCCGUGCCAGCAGCCGCGGUAAUACGGGGGGUGCAAGCGUUAAUCGGAAUUAUUGGGCGUAAAGGGUGCGUAGGUUGUUUGAUAAGAUAUAUGUGAAAUACCUGGGCUCAACCUGGGAAGGUCAUAUAAGACUGUCAGACUCGAGUAUGGGAGAGGGUAGAGGAAUUUCCGGUGUAGCGGUGAAAUGCGUAGAUAUCGGAAGGAACAUCGGUGGCGAAGGCGUCUACCUGGCCUAAUACUGACACUGAGGUGCGAAAGCGUGGGGAGCAAACAGGAUUAGAUACCCCCGUAGUCCCUGAGCGGGCUGGCAAGGCGC
rnacentral:rRNA from 1 species